rnacentral:misc_RNA from 1 species
GAUGAAGAACGUAGCGAAAUGCGAUAAGUAGUGUGAAUUGCAGAAUUCAGUGAAUCAUCGAAUCUUUGAACGCACAUUGCGCCCCUUGGUAUUCCAUGGGGCAUGCCUGUUCGAGCGUCAUUUGUACCUUCAAGCUCUGCUUGGUGUUGGGUGUUUGUCUCGCCUCUGCGCGUAGACUCGCCUCAAAACAAUUGGCAGCCGGCGUAUUGAUUUCGGAGCACAGUACAUCUCGCGCUUUGCACUCAUAACGACGACGUCCAAAAGUACAUUUUUACACUCUUGACCUCGGAUCAGGUAGGGAUACCCGCUGAACUUAAGCAUAUCAAUAAGCGGAGGA